GGGAAGAGGAAAAGUUUUCCCUCCCUAGAUGAACUAUGGAUGGGAGAAUUAUAUUGGGGUGAAGAGCCCCACCUGCUGGGACCCAGGCAUCCAAAUGGACAGGCAAGGUCUACAGUGACCACAGGAUCUACAAGGAAUGAUUCCAGGAAGUUGGAUCAAUAAAGCUGAUAUCAAGGAACACGAGUCUUGAUGCUGUGACUGAUCGUUGGGGCAAGGACACACCUGGAAGUUCUUUUCCUUACUUUGAUGGAGGAAUUAUUGAACAUCUACCCUGGGCUGGACACCGUGCCAGGUGCCGACAUGGAGAAAAGGACUAGCCACUGGCCCUGCUCUCUUGGAGCUGACCUGGUGGGGGACACAGGAGAUCAACAAGCAAGAAGUGCACAGCACACGUGAGAUUUUCAGAGAGCGACGCGAUGUGGCCCACAAGGAAAAUGAGCAGUGAGAUAUGGUGAAGUGUGAUGGGGCCGGGGAGCCUAUGUGAGACAGGCUGGUCAAGGAGAGCUUCCUGGAGGAGGAGGCACAAACUGAGGCCUGAAGGAUGAGAAGGAGUUAAGCACAAGAGUGUCUGGGGACGGGCUUGUGCCAGGCCAAGGGGCUUAACACCCAUCGGGAAAGUCUCUGAAGGAAAAGGGUUAGGGUGUGCAAGGGGUCCCAGGGGACAAUGCAAUGCAUACAUGAUCCUUAGCAGAUCCUGGAUUUAGAAAAACAGCUCAGGAGGACAUCAUUUGGGCAAUUGGCAAAGUCCAACUAUGGAUACAUAUGGAUAAGAGUGCUGUGUCCAUGUUAAAUCACCCGAAAAUGAGCCCCGGCUUUUCAGAGAUACCACCAAAGUCCUGGGAGGCAAAGGGCCUUGAUGUCUGCAACUAACUCGCAAAUGGUUCCUAAAUUACUUACACCCACGUGCGCAGACACACACAUACACACAGAAAGAUAAAAGCAAGUGUGACCACAACGUUAACCGUUGGUGAAGUCAAGUAGAAAGCAUAUGGGCAUUCAUCAUAUUGUGCUUGCAAUGUUUCUGUAGGUUGAAAUUCUUCAAAACAAAAAGUUGAGAGAUGAAACAUUGGAUCAUGGGCUCAGCAUCUACGCUGGGUCGGGUAAGACAACCCUCUAGAAAUCCCGACCCAGCUGAAGUCUGCAGAGCGGGUAGAGCUCCCGGGUUAAGGGCACAGGGAGGAACACUGGCAAGAGGCAGGUGGUUCAGGAUGGCCUGGGGUUUGGGGGGCCUGCAGGGGUCCGCAGGAGCUGGACCACGUACACAGAGUGGGGAGUACCUGCCGUGCCACCUGCUCCUCUGCCGUGUGGCCUCGCCUCGCUCCCCCCUCUAGGGUGGGGUCUCUCCCCAUCCCUGUGACUCUGGGAGCAGUCCGUGACUGCUUCGGCCAACAGAAUACAGUGAAAGCGAUGCUAUGCCGGCUCUCGGAGCUGGCUGUCACAUAAGAAGUGCCCCUCGCCCUGAGAGCACCAGGCUGCAGGAGGCCCAGGCCACAAGGCCCUGGAGAACAAGAUGCCACACGGAGAGAGAGGCCAGGGAGCACCAAGGCGAGCGAGGAAGCCAUCGUUGAAGCAGAGCCUGGGUUUUAAACGCCCCAGCUGAAGCCACGCGGAGCAGAGGAGCAGCCCUGCAGAACCCUACCCACAUUCCUGACCCGCAAGACUGGGAGCAAAGUAAAAGUUCUUUUAAGCCACUAAGUUACGGGCUUGUUUAUGAGGCAGCAACAGCACCUGGGACCCUAUUAGAGACCGGUAGUCUGUGUUAAGAAGUUUGGUCGUUGUCUUGGGAGUAGUGGGGAGCCAUUGAAGGUUUCAGUCCAGAUGGGUGACGGGACAAGAUUGAGGAGAUGACUCUGCUUGCCAGGUAGAAAAUAGGCUGGUGAAGGGGGUGGGAGUGGGAGUGGGGGAAACCAGGGUGACUAAUUACAAGUCUAUUGCAAUGGUCGGGGCAAGAUGACAGCAGCUGGGACUGGGGUCAUGGAAGCGAUGUCCAGGGGCAGGGGGACUGAAGAAUAAAUACUGUUCAGGGAACCUUCAAUGCAUGUAACAGGCCCAGGCCCGAGGGUCCAGUUAUUCUGCCCUGAGGCCACUAAGGAGGGCCGAAUAAAAGCACCCACCCUUCUUCCUGCAAGAAAAAUAACACGGCAGAAGAGAACGUAGAACAACCGUAAAAGAAAUCACUGGAAUCCUUUCUCUUCUUUGGGGAAUAUCUGAUUUUAAGAAAUAAAUAAAAGAGAAACUUUUUUCUGACCAAACCAUACCAAAUUGUUUUGGUCUAUAAUCGAGAUGUUAACUGAAUAUAGAAAUGUAGACAGCCCAGGUCAAUAGCCAAAUGAUGAGGGUGCUGGAAUGUUUGCCUGUGACGGCCUCCGUUCAAUGUCACAAAUUUUGUCCUUAAAAGACCUGAACGGGGGGCCGGCUCCGUGGCCGAGUGGUUAAGUUCGCGCGCUCCGCUGCAGCGG